UGGGGAAUAUUGCACAAUGGGCGCAAGCCUGAUGCAGCCAUGCCGCGUGUAUGAAGAAGGCCUUCGGGUUGUAAAGUACUUUCAGCGGGGAGGAAGGUGGUAAGGUUAAUAACCUUAUCAAUUGACGUUACCGACAGAAGAAGCACCGGCUAACUCCGUGCCAGCAGCCGCGGUAAUACGGAGGGUGCAAGCGUUAAUCGGAAUUACUGGGCGUAAAGCGCACGCAGGCGGUUUGUUAAGUCAGAUGUGAAAUCCCCGGGCUCAACCUGGGAACUGCAUCUGAUACUGGCAAGCUUGAGUCUCGUAGAGGGGGGUAGAAUUCCAGGUGUAGCGGUGAAAUGCGUAGAGAUCUGGAGGAAUACCGGUGGCGAAGGCGGCCCCCUGGACGAAGACUGACGCUCAGGUGCGAAAGCGUGGGGAGCAAACAGG
rnacentral:rRNA from 1 species